UACAGAGGAGCCAAGCGUUGUCCGGAUUGACUGGGCGUAAAGCGCACGCAGGCGGAUGCGCGCGUGGGGUGUGAAAUCUGGCCGCUUAACGGCCAGGCGCCAUCCCAUACGGCGCGUCUGGAGCUAUGCAGAGGUCGGUGGAAUUGCCGGUGUAGUGGUGAAAUGCGUAGAGAUCGGCAGGAACACCCAGGGGGAAACCAGCCGACUGGGCAUAUGCUGACGCUGAGGUGCGAGAGCGUGGGGAGCAAACAGG
rnacentral:rRNA from 1 species